rnacentral:rRNA from 1 species
GACGAACGCUGGCGGCGUGCUUAACACAUGCAAGUCGAACGGAAAGGCCCUUCGGGGUACUCGAGUGGCGAACGGGUGAGUAACACGUGGGUAAUCUGCCCUGCACUUUGGGAUAAGCCUGGGAAACUGGGUCUAAUACCGAAUAGGACCACGCGCUUCAUCUUGUUUGGUGGCAAGCUUUUGCGGUGUGGGAUGGGCCCGCGGCCUAUCAGCUUGUUGGUGGGGUAAUGGCCUACCAAGGCGACGACGGGUAGCCGGCCUGAGAGGGUGACCGGCCACACUGGGACUGAGAGACGGCCCAGACUCCUACGGGAGGCAGCAGUGGGGAAUAUUGCACAAUGGGCGCAAGCCUGAUGCAGCGACGCCGCGUGAGGGAUGACGGCCUUCGGGUUGUAAACCUCUUUCAAUAGGGACGAAGCGCAAGUGACGGUACCUAUAGAAGAAGCACCGGCCAACUACGUG